UAUAAGUUUCCCAAUGUUAAACUCGGUUCUUCCUCUCCAUAGAGGACAGUUUUUCCGCCGCUCGCUAGAUGAUGCUGCAGCCACGUUUUAAAUCACACCACCACCGGCCCAGCGUCUUGCAGGGAGACACAGGCGGAACACAACUACCCCUUUGUUGUGUUUUUGUGUGCGUUUAAACUUGCUUCGUUGUGAUGAGCACAUGCGCUUGUUAGGAAGGAAGAAGACAAUGUUGCUGUCCUGAAUGAAAACUCCUCCCCUGCUCUGGCCCUACAGGGGACCAUGCUGGAGAAAGCUGGUGACAAAGUGCAGCAGUAAGGGCACUGCUCAGACUGUGGAUGCAGCUUCAGCCUACCAGAGCCCGACUCUGACCCUGAUUCCUCCAACCACUCUGUCGCUCCUAAACAGGGGCAUGACAGUCCUUCCAAAUGCCCCUCCUGCCAGGAAGGCAGCAGCCCCCAUAGUAAUGGUCGAAGGCCACACCGGGCAUGCGCCUGGAGCCUCACAGCUGCAGCCUGUGCACCAAAACCAAAACUGUAACAUAGAAAGUGAGAAACGGCAGUAAACGGUUCAGCUGGUGACCAACGUUGUCCUGGAGGAGCACCACCUCAUCGUUGGGGUGGUGGUGGUGGUGGACCCCGGCAUCAUCCCCAUCAACUCCAGAGGGGAGAAACAAUGUAUGCACCUCAGAGAUGGAUUCCUUGCAGACCAGCUGGACCCCAUAUAUGUGGCUUACAACAUGUGAAACAUUAACACGCUACAGAAGACAGCAGGACAGUAAAUGGUGGUAUUGAAGGCCCAGGGUCAAAAUGGCUUCCGCUGAAAGGAGAAGUAAGAAAGAAACAUGGAUGCAAAACCUCCUGUCAGUUUUCUCCUUUCCUGCCUGGGCAAAUAAUGUUUCAAAGGGCAUUGUUGUUUUAUUGAGGUGAGUUUUGUUUAUACGACAAAACUCCAUGAACCCAGGACACCUGAGAGCAGUGCAGCGGGCACUACAGCGUGCCAUUGACAUAAUUUAUUUGAUCAAUCUCAAAAUUGGUGAAUGUCAGUUGUGUUUGCCAUACACUUGUGCCAUAGCUCAGAAUUGAUGCCAGUAUCCAAAUCCUCCUGUGUCAUUACAUGUCCUAUGUUCCUCGUAGAAAGAGCCUGUCUCACGGUCAUUGUGGGUCCUUACAUUACAGCUACACUCUCUUGAACUUAGAUUUUCGUGUUCACAUUAUAUGUUUAACAAGGAAGUACACAGCAGUUGUGUGUUACUCUUUGCUCAUUCCUGCAGUUGUGUUUUAGUUUGUAGCACCAUUGGCUUCAAAAUGAUGACAUGGUGGCUCUGUCUUUUUCUUCUUCUUCUUUUUUUUAAUCUAAAACAUGUAAUAUUGUUUUAUCUUAACAAAAUGCAAUAUGAGUGAUGUGAAAGAUGUUGCUUCGAAUGACUGCAUACAGUAAGUGCCAAUCAGUUGAAGUCACAACACCGGGAGGAAUACAGUCGUUGCUUACUAUUAGCAACUCGCUAAAUGAUAGCAAUUGAGCCUUAAGUGUUUAUUUGAGACGCCUGGUCCCAUCCCAGCCAUUGUUUAACUUAAUUUAGUGAUCAGCUGCUUUUAUUGCACGUUUUUUUUUUUUUUU